rnacentral:rRNA from 1 species
CCUACGGGGGGCAGCAGUAGGGAAUCUUCCACAAUGGGCGAAAGCCUGAUGGAGCAACGCCGCGUGGGUGAAGAAGGUCUUCGGAUCGUAAAACCCUGUUGUUAGAGAAGAAAGGGCGUGAGAGUAACUGUUCACGUUUCGACGGUAUCUAACCAGAAAGCCACGGCUAACUACGUGCCAGCAGCCGCGGUAAUACGUAGGUGGCAAGCGUUAUCCGGAUUUAUUGGGCGUAAAGGGAACGCAGGCGGUCUUUUAAGUCUGAUGUGAAAGCCUUCGGCUUAACCGGAGUAGUGCAUUGGAAACUGGGAGACUUGAGUGCAGAAGAGGAGAGUGGAACUCGAUGUGUAGCGGUGAAAUGCGUAGAUAUAAGGAAGAACACCAGUGGCGAAAGCAGCUUUCUGGUCUGUAACUGACGCUGAGGUUCGAAAGCGUGGGUAGCAAACAGGAUUAGAUACCCGAGUAGUC